AUGAACGCUGGCGGCGUGCCUAACACAUGCAAGUCGAACGGAGCUGCUUUGAUGAAGUUUUCGGAUGGAUUUAAAGCAGCUUAGUGGCGGACGGGUGAGUAACGCGUGGGUAACCUGCCUCACACUGGGGGAUAACAGUUAGAAAUAGCUGCUAAUACCGCAUAAGCGCACAGUUCCGCAUGGAACAGUGUGAAAAACUCCGGUGGUGUGAGAUGGACCCGCGUCUGAUUAGCCAGUUGGCGGGGUAACGGCCCACCAAAGCGACGAUCAGUAGCCGGCCUGAGAGGGUGAACGGCCACAUUGGGACUGAGACACGGCCCAAACUCCUACGGGAGGCAGCAGUGGGGAAUAUUGCACAAUGGGGGAAACCCUGAUGCAGCGACGCCGCGUGAGUGAAGAAGUAUUUCGGUAUGUAAAGCUCUAUCAGCAGGGAAGAAAGUGACGGUACCUGAAUAAGAAGCCCCGGCUAACUACGUGCCAGCAGCCGCGGUAAUACGUAGGGGGCAAGCGUUAUCCGGAUUUACUGGGUGUAAAGGGAGCGUAGACGGCAAGGCAAGUCUGAAGUGAAAGCCCGGUGCUUAACGCCGGGACUGCUUUGGAAACUGUUUGGCUGGAGUGCCGGAGAGGUAAGCGGAAUUCCUAGUGUAGCGGUGAAAUGCGUAGAUAUUAGGAAGAACACCAGUGGCGAAGGCGGCUUACUGGACGGUAACUGACGUUGAGGCUCGAAAGCGUGGGGAGCAAACAGGAUUAGAUACCCUGGUAGUCCAUGCCGUAAACGAUGAUUACUAGGUGUUGGAGGAUUGACCCCUUCAGUGCCGCAGUUAACACAAUAAGUAAUCCACCUGGGGAGUACGCCGGCAACGGUGAAACUCAAAGGAAUUGACGGGGGCCCGCACAAGCAGUGGAGUAUGUGGUUUAAUUCGAAGCAACGCGAAGAACCUUACCAGGGCUUGACAUAUAGAUGAAUAACUAAGAGAUUAGUUAGUCCUUCGGGACAUUUAUACAGGUGGUGCAUGGUUGUCGUCAGCUCGUGUCGUGAGAUGUUGGGUUAAGUCCCGCAACGAGCGCAACCCUUAUUCUUAGUAGCCAGCAGGUAAGGCUGGGCACUCUAAGGAGACUGCCGGGGAUAACCCGGAGGAAGGUGGGGAUGACGUCAAAUCAUCAUGCCCCUUAUGACCUGGGCUACACACGUGCUACAAUGGGAAGUACAACGAGUCGCAAAGUCGCGAGGCUAAGCUAAUCUCUUAAAGCUUCUCUCAGUUCGGAUUGUAGGCUGCAACUCGCCUACAUGAAGCCGGAAUCGCUAGUAAUCGCGGAUCAGCAUGCCGCGGUGAAUACGUUCCCGGGCCUUGUACACACCGCCCGUCACACCAUGGGAGUCGGAAAUGCCCGAAGUCUGUGACUCAACCGCAAGGAGAGAGCAGCCGAAGGCAGGUCUGAUAACUGGGGUG
rnacentral:rRNA from 1 species